rnacentral:rRNA from 1 species
UAGGGAAUCUUCCACAAUGGACGCAAGUCUGAUGGAGCAACGCCGCGUGAGUGAAGAAGGUUUUCGGAUCGUAAAGCUCUGUUGUUGGUGAAGAAGGAUAGAGGCAGUAACUGGUCUUUAUUUGACGGUAAUCAACCAGAAAGUCACGGCUAACUACGUGCCAGCAGCCGCGGUAAUACGUAGGUGGCAAGCGUUGUCCGGAUUUAUUGGGCGUAAAGCGAGCGCAGGCGGAAUGAUAAGUCUGAUGUGAAAGCCCACGGCUCAACCGUGGAACUGCAUCGGAAAAUGUCAUUCUUGAGUGCAGAAGAAGGGAGUGGAAUUCCAUGUGUAGCGGUGGAAUGAGUAGAUAUAUGGAAGAACACCAGUGGCGAAGGAGGCUCUCUGGUCUGCAACUGACGCUGAGGCUCGAAAGAAUGGGUAGCGAACAGG